CAGCUGGAAUAAUCCUAAAGAAACAUCCUCCGGAGCGUCCCUUUUAACCUUCAACAAAAAGGGCUUUUCCUUGAUUUCCUCAAUACAUAACAAGAAAUAAGAUUCGGCCUGAAACUAGAGUUCGUCAGCCUUGCGGCAGCUUUGAUGUGCGUCAUUAUGCCUGACCACGCCGACGUCAGCCUCCCGCCGGAGGAGCGAGUACGAAGACUGAUCCAGGUGGGAAGCGCUGUGGAAGUGAAUGAGGACAUCCCACCACGACGCUACUACCGCUCCGGAGUGGAAAUUCUCCGCAUGGCAACCGUUUACUCGGAGGAAGGCAAUAUCGAGCAUGCCUUUAUUUUGUACAACAAAUACAUCACGCUCUUCAUUGAGAAGCUGCCGCAGCACCGUGAUUACAAAACUGCUAUCAUACCCGAAAAGAGGGAGACGGUGAAAAAACUGAAAGAAGUAGCCUUCCCCAGAGCUGAAGAGCUCAAGGAGGAGCUGUUAAAGAGGUACGCCAAGGACUAUGCUAAGUACAAGGAGCAGAAGAAGGAGGAGGAAGAGGAAUUUGCACGCAACUUGGCUUUGCAGCAGCAGCUGGAAGAGGAGAGGAAUCGGGUAGCCCUGAUGAAGCAGCAGCAGGCAGAGCAAGAGCAGUUUCAUGCCUUCGAGGAGAUGAUUCGACGACAGGAGCUGGAGAAGGAACGUCUAAGGAUAGUGCAGGAAUUUGGAAAGCCAGAGCCAAGUCCUGAGUCUCUGGAUGGACCCCUCAUCCCUGGCGUGGAAAAGCCCCCAACUGAUUUAAUCCCAAAGGUUCCCGUCUCUCCAGUUGACCCCGCAAGUCCAUCAGCAGGGACUGUCUCAUCCAAACCUCCCGUUGUGGACAGAUCUUUGAAACCUAGUGCUUUGGGGAGCACGGAAAACAAUGCAAGUAUGGAUGUCCUUCGCCAGGUCAUUGUCCCUAGGGAGCUCUGCCAGAAAUUCCUCCAGCUGGCUGAUGCCAACACAGUCCGGGGUGUGGAGACGUGUGGGAUCCUCUGCGGUAAGCUGAUGAGGAACGAGUUCACGAUAACCCACGUCAUUGUUCCCAAGCAGUACGGAGGCCCCGAUUAUUGCAACACGGAGAAUGAGGAGGAGCUCUUCGUGAUCCAGGAUCAGCACGGCCUUGUUACACUAGGCUGGAUCCAUAUGCAGUCCCUUUGGACUAGUUCUCCAACCCUGCUGGAACUUCCUCUCUUUUAUGCUGCCCUGUGUUUCAGACUCACCCCACGCAGACAGCCUUCCUCUCCAGCGUCGACCUGCACACGCACUGCUCCUACCAGAUGAUGUUGCCAGAGUCCAUUGCUAUUGUGUGUUCUCCGAAAUACCAGGAGACAGGGUUUUUCAAGCUGACGGAGCAUGGUCUGGAGGAGAUCUCUUCCUGCCGGCAGAAGGGAUUCCACCCGCACUCCAAAGACCCCCCUCUCUUCACUACCUGCAAUCAUGUGUCAGUAGUCGAGAGAGACGUGGUCCUGAUGGAUCUCCGAUAGGCCUCCUGCCUUAACCACUUACAGAAAACCAACUACCUUCCUUCUAGGCCUAGAGAAUUUUUGUUUUUCCUCCUGUAGCAGAUGAUUUCUACCGUGUAGUGACCCUUCCCCUUUCUCCCCCAAUAAUCACGGUGAAAUCGGUACCCUGACCUCAGUGGGAGCACGUGAAACCUCAGUGCCUGGCGUCAGGCUGGUGAAGUGGUGCUGAGGUUCAAGGUGUGGGGAAAGCUAACUGGAAAUUCAAAGACAGAAGCUAACACUGAAGCAAUUGUUUAACACUCUAAUCUAUGGCUUGAACAGCUGCUUGGGGUGGUUCCCUGUGAUUUGCUGCAACCAUGAGGUGCGGAAACCUCUUCAAGUGCUUUCCAAAGUGGGACUUGCCUGAAUUAACCCAUGCUUUGUUUUGCCUCUCUCUCUGGGAUGCUGUGGUCUCGGUGCAGCUGGCUGGAGUAGACAAGUCUUUGCUAUAGUUUAAGAUUAAACCUUCCUAAGCCCUCUCACUCCACGCAAGAGCUUAUUGCCGCUGAGUUGGAGUGAGUUCUGCUUGCUGGUACUCAGGUCUUUGCCUGGUGAGGUAAGAAGGGGCCCCACCUCCUUUGGGGACCCCCAUUUCCGCGUUUCAGGGGAGAAGGUGCCUGGAUGCGGCGCUGCUUUGCACAAGCUGCUUCAUUCCAGCAGAUGUGAGGGAUGUCUUGUUACUUUAUUCCUUUUCCUGGAUGGGAGAUUUGCUCCAGCACUUGGGCUGCCCAGCGAGGGCUUGGGUUCGACUUGCUGCUGGUGUUACCAUGGAGGAGGAUCUCGGUCUCUUGGCUGCAGUGCUGUCGUGUGAAGGCUCUGUAAGGCCAUCACCUCUCUGAGACAGGACUCCAGCAGGUUUUGCCGCUUCAGUCCUCAAAGAUCACAGCGCCCGAUUGCCUCUGCACUUCUCAAAACAGUAUGAAGUCUGUCCUUGCCAAAAACAAGCAGUCUGUGAUGUCGCCAUUAUGCGGUACACCAGCCAGGGACCUCUUCCGAAUUACUUUCCUCGGACGCCGAGCAGCGAUUUUCCUUCCCUGCGCUAUCCGUGCUGAGCCUUUGCCCUCGCUUCUGCCAGCGUUGAAAGCAAAGAAGCAGUAUUGAAAGGUGGAAGGCAUCUGGCCUCAAAGGGCUGAGCGUGAUCCACAACAUCUCCACAUCCUCUGGCAGGAUGCUCUAAUGAUCAGCACAUGGGCGUGCGGGGAGGGGAAGAAGGCUGGAGUUGCCUUCCCACCUGGCAUGCAUACAUACAUGUUCUAUAUGUCAAGUCCUUGUACUUCCACAUACAAAAUUCUUUGGUGUACAGUUUAACACAGAUGGAUUGUAUUAUCUUG